GAUGAACGCUGACAGAAUGCUUAACACAUGCGAGUCAACUUGAAUUUGGGUUUUUAACUUAGGUUUGGGUGGCGGACGGGUGAGUAACGCGUAAAGAACUUGCCUCACAGCUAGGGACAACAUUUGGAAACGAAUGCUAAUACCUAAUAUUAUGAUAAUAGGGCAUCCUAUAAUUAUGAAAGCUAUAAGCGCUGUGAGAGAGCUUUGCGUCCCAUUAGCUAGUUGGAGAGGUAACGGCUCACCAAGGCGAUGAUGGGUAGCCGGCCUGAGAGGGUGAUCGGCCACAAGGGGACUGAGACACGGCCCUUACUCCUACGGGAGGCAGCAGUGGGGAAUAUUGGACAAUGGACCGAGAGUCUGAUCCAGCAAUUCUGUGUGCACGAUGAAGUUUUUCGGAAUGUAAAGUGCUUUCAGCUGGGAAGAAACAAAUGACGGUACCAACAGAAGAAGUGACGGCUAAAUACGUG
rnacentral:rRNA from 1 species